AGAGUUUGAUCAUGGCUCAGGAUAAACGCUGGCGGCGUGCAUGAGACAUGCAAGUCGAACGAACGACCUCGGGCUUGCCCGGGGAAGUUAGUGGCGAACGGCUGAGUAACGCGUGGGUGACCUGCCCAGAAGUGGGGAAUAACUGCCCGAAAGGGUGGCUAAUACCGCAUGUGGUCAUGAGUUCGAUCUGAUGACCAAAGCCUUCGGGCGCUUCUGGAGGGGCCUGCGUUCGAUUAGCUCGUUGGUGGGGUAACGGCUCACCAAGGCGACGAUCGAUAGGUGGUCUGAGAGGAUGAUCACCCAGACUGGGACUGAGACACGGCCCAGACUCCUACGGGAGGCAGCAGUCGGGAAUUUUGCUCAAUGGGGGAAACCCUGAAGCAGCAACGCCGCGUGAGGGAUGACGGCCUUCGGGUUGUAAACCUCUUUUCUCAGGGAAGAUAAUGACGGUACCUGAGGAAUAAGCCACGGCUAACUACGUGCCAGCAGCCGCGGUAAUACGUAGGUGGCAAGCGUUGUCCGGAAUUACUGGGCGUAAAGAGCGCGCAGGCGGCCAUGUGAGUCGAACGUGAAAGCCCCCGGCUCAACUGGGGAAGGUCGUUCGAUACUGCUUGGCUUGAAGAUAGGAGAGGGAAGCGGAAUUUCCGGUGUAGUGGUGAAAUGCGUAGAUAUCGGAAGGAACACCAGUGGCGAAGGCGGCUUUCUGGCCUAUUCUUGACGCUGAGGCGCGAAAGCUAGGGGAGCGAACGGGAUUAGAUACCCCGGUAGUCCUAGCCGUAAACGAUGAACACUAGAUGUUGGUGGUAUCAACCCCGCCAGUGUCGCAGCUAACGCAUUAAGUGUUCCGCCUGGGGAGUACGGCCGCAAGGCUAAAACUCAAAGGAAUUGACGGGGGCCCGCACAAGCAGCGGAGCGUGGGGUUUAAUUCGACGCAACGCGAAGAACCUUACCAGGGCUUGACAUGACCAGGGAUCCGGCGGAAACGUCGGCGCCUCGCAAGAGGCCUGGCCACAGGUGUUGCAUGGCUGUCGUC
rnacentral:rRNA from 1 species